rnacentral:lncRNA from 1 species
UUUUUUUUUUUUUUUUUUUUUUGUCUUUUCUAGGGCCUUACCUCUGGCAUGUGGAGGUUCCAGGCUAGGGGUCUAAUCAGACCUGUAGCCACCAGCCUAUGCCAGAGCCACAGCAAUGCAGGAUCCGAGCCGCGUCUGAAACUACACCACAGCUGACGGUAACACCGGAUCCUUAACCCACUGAGCGAGGCCAGGGAUCAAACCUGAAACCUCAUGGUUCCUAGUCAGAUUCGUUAACCACUGAGCCACGACGGGAACUCCUCCUUAAAUAUUUUUUUAAUUAAAAUUCCUUUGAAAUAGUUUUAUGUACCACUUGAGUACCAUUAUGUAUUUUUUACAUUAGGGCUGAACAAGCUUCUGAAUAUAAAAUCAAACUGGGAUUUGCUCCUGAGCAAUAUGAAGGGAGAAACAGAUUUUUUUUUCAUGAUUGUAUCUGGGUUUAUUAGGAAAAUGUACUUGGAAUUAAAACAUUUUUUCAUAAAAACUAAGACAAGGUGCCCAAUUUUACUGAAUAAGGUAGAAUGUGAGACAAAGCCCAAACUUCUUGGUCUGGCUCCUGGGUCUGGAUCUAGUGACCAAGUUCAGCUUACUGUUCCAGUCUGUCUUUCCCUGUCUCUCCAAUCAUAUUCUCCAAUCUACUCAGACACAUCUGUUUACAUUUCCCCAAACUCAUGUGCUCUCCAGCCCAUUCUCUUAACCCUCACAGUUCAUUGAAUUUCUUCUCCAACCCCAGGAUUUGACAUUCAGAUAAAAUCCUACCAUCCUCUGAGAAAUAUUAUCAUUUUUCACCAGAUCCCAUUUGGAAAUUAUUCCCCCACCCAUGCUUCUUUUUUUAAUUAAUGGUUAUCAAGUGAUUACUCCAGGCCAGUCACCGUGCUAAGUGCUUUAUAGGCCUUAUCAUAACACCCCUAUGAGUAACCUUAAUAGUAGUAGUAGUGCCAUUUUACAGCUAGAAAAACAGAUUUUGAAGGGCAAAUGGAUUUUCUCAAGAUCAUGUAACAAGGAAGUGACAGAACCAGGACCUCAACCUAUUUCCAACUGAUAAUUUUGAGUGAGACAGUGGCACAAGGGAAGGGAGCAAGGCGAAAAUGGGACGGGGUGGGGGAAGAAUCCUAACAACAAUCCUUAUGGACCUAGGAUGGGUUAGGUUGUAGUACAAUUACAAACCCUGCCUUGAUCUCAGUAGCUUAAUGGAAAGUGUUCUAUUUCUCAUGCUAUGUGCGCACUGCAGGCCAGCAGGGGGCUCUGUUACCACUCAGGGCUUGUAAUGGCAACUCCACCUUGAUAAGGACUUGAGAGAUGACAGCAAGGGGAACACAAAAAGGUGAAUCUUUCACCAGCACUUAAAUGUUCAUCUGGACGUGACUUACACCAUUUCCAUUGACAUUUCAUUGGACAAAACAAGUCCAGUAUGGCCAGGCCUCAUUUCAAGAGGGUGAAAAGUAUAAUGAUCUUUUUGGAAGGAGAAGAACCAGAAUCAAUUGAUGAACCCAAACUACUCUAGUGCCUGGACAGUCUUCAUUGGAGUGUAGAUUCUGAUUCCGCACUGGGAUGGUGAGAGGUGCAGCACAGCAAAGUUUACAGACACAGUCGAGAGACCCAAGUGGAGCUUCCACAUUCUCUUCCCCUCAGGGGUCCCUCAUUCCAGUGGGAAAGACAGAGAAUUCAUGGAGAAGAUGCCUAGAGAAAACACCAUCGUUUAAAAACCCUAUCAUAAAAAAGUAUUUCCUACUCCUCUGAUUAUGGAAACCAAGAGUAGUUAUGUGGCCACAUGUUAUCAUGGGAAACAAACUCCCCUUGUGUUUCUGUCCAGGCUUCUUAGGCACCAGCUUUUAGGCCAUUUUCAUCUCCAAAAAUGUCUAUAUGCAAGACCUCUUAUUCACAAUCCACAGUUCAUAAAAUUUUAUCAAGUGCCAACAUGAAAACCAAUUUACUUGUUUCCCUUUAAGUAUCACUUUGUGGGUCCCCCCCCCCGCCCCAAGGUUUGUGUUAAGAACUUUACUUAGGUUGAUAAGAAAGCUUUCAUUUUCCUAUUUGAUUAAUAAGUGCUUUUUCAAUUAGGUUUCUUCAGAAUUGGAAACAAAGUUAUUUUAGACAAUCUCUGAUGCUUCCUGGAUUGUCAUAAAAGAUGUUAAUGGAUUCAAACCCAUUCUCUUGCUUUCUCCUCUCCUUUUCUCCCCUCGUCUCCUUGCCUCAUGCACCCUCCCUCUCUCUCCCUCUCCCCCACUCCUUAUCCCCCUCUUCCAUCCAUUCCUCCCUAUCUCCUAUAAAAUCGCCAUUUUACCAGCGCCAAAUGCACCGACUCUUGGCCAACUCUUACUUAUUCCCAAGGUCAUCGCCUCAUAUCAUUUCCUUGAGGCAAACCUCCUUGUUCCUUCAUGACAGUUUGUGGCCCUGGAAUGAACUUCAAUCGUAUCAAGUGCUUUCUCUUCAGAGCUGGAAUGAAAAUGUAUUUCUAUGAUUAUUUGUGGAGUUACUUGUUCAGUGUCUUUCCCCCAGUAAAACUGCCAGCUCCACGAACGCAGGUGCCAGGAUUCUCGUGUUCAUUUCUGUGACUGGAGAUCCUAACACAACACCUGAGGCAUGACAGGUGCUCCGGAAGAAUUUGGAUACCUAGUCAGUCAGCAGUGGUUGUACUUUCCCCGCCAUCCUGUGUUGGGGUGACUUGGUGGCUUUUGCGGGGUGCCUUACAGGCUCGCUCGGAUGGGAAUGAACUGACAGCCGAGAACCCCUGUAAAAUGAGAACAGCAGCAACAAAAAUACCUGCUCAGCACCAGCCUGCUUGUAGUGUUGAUGUUUUGUGGGUAGCGGUCAAGUGACGUUUUAGACCAAUAUAAGCUUGUGGCUUCAAAACUCUGCAGUUUAAAAGUAGUAUUGACGGAGUGGUACACGGAGGGGAAAAAGGGAGAAAACCCCAUUUUUUCCUCACCAGUUACGUAAGGUCCUUUUCUGCCUGCCAGCACGUCUGAUAUGAUAGUCUGAAAGCACCAUUUUCUUGGUAAAACAAACACAGACUUCUCUUUAAAAACACCUUUUGAUACUUUAUGAGUAGGGCUGGUGUAUGUAACCAAUCAAGACCAACAUAUGGCUUAUUAUGACAUUUAGCUGAUUAAAAUAGUCUAGACAUAAACUUGAGAUUUCAGAAAUGUUUAAGUUAAGUAAGAAAUACAUUUUAAUGUACAGUAGAUGUGUACUUAGUCCACGGCCACCUGUAUCCCUACAGGAAUUAUAGAGCAGGAAGUACUUUUGACUCAAGAAGUGUGUCUGAAAAUUAAGGUUGUAAAUUAACAACAGCUUGUCUAUUAGAUUAUUUUAGCCAUAAAGGACUCAGUAUGAUUCAAAAUGCUCGUGAUUUUCAAUACAUUUCUGUGGCUCGAUUUAAUAAAGAGUGAUGCUGGGAAUGGCUUUGGCUCGAAGGUCUGCAAAAGCACAUUUUUAGAAAAUCCCAGAGAAUAAAUAGUAGCUGCUAGUUAGGCUGUGGUAAAACACACCUGUGGCUAAUGGAAAAGGAAAAGUUUGAGCCUCCCCUUGGCACUGGCCUCUGAGCUGGCACCAGGGGGAGAGCUGUGGCUUUGUGGGCCGUGCCCAGCCUCGGCCCCAAGGCCUGGAGCACCAAGGCUCUCAUCCUGCCUCCUGUAUCUUGGGAACAGCAGCCAUGCUUUCAGGUUUUGUUUUCCUGGUCUAUAACUUGUAAAGACUGAGGCCUAAUUAACACACAGGGUUAAGAAUUAAUUGGCUAAUGUUUGAGGCCAAGCACUUUGGAGUAUGUUAUGAUUAGUUGUAGGGCCAUCCAGAGGCUGGGUGUGGGUUGCGAUUUUUGAUUAGGUUUUCUAUCAGUGUGACCUCUUCUGUGCAUGGAGGAGGCAGGUGAGGUCAGGGAAAAGCAUGGAGCUGGGGUGGGUCAGGGGAUAUGCUUCUCUGGCUUUUUUUUGAGAAAGAUUGAAGAAGAAAAAGAGAGGCUGAAGGAGGAGGAGGUGGAGGGAGGGAGAGAAGAGAAGUGAAAAGAAGUGAGGAGAGAGAGAGAGACAGAGUGAAUACUUCUGAGGUCUCAUGGAGGGCCCAGCUCCCAGGUGGUCUCUGAGUUUGGGAAAUACUGGAAUUGACUGAGACAGGACCAGGGUAGAACAGAACCUGUGGUAUUAGGCUUUUCUCCUGCAGCCAAACUAUUGAGCUGGCAGGAAGACAUGGAGCUCGUGGUGACCUGAAGCCCAUUCCCUGUACUUGUUUGCCAAGGUAUUAAUUCUGUCCAUGCCUGUGAACUCUGCUAACCUCUCCCUUUCCGGAGCUUUCUGUGGCCAGGACACUGGCCUAGUGGCCAGGAGAACAAGAUCCUUCUCCUAGUUUGUGAGUUACCAUGUGACACACAGUGGCAUUCCAUUCUCCAUACUGGUCUCCUCCUUUGAGACACAAGGAGGAGUGGAUGAGCUGGGAGGUGUAUCAGUUAGCUUUUGCUGCGUGACAAACCACCCUGAAACUUUGUGGCUUCCAACAGCAAACAUUUAUUUAGCUCACAAUGCUGUGGGUUGGCAUUUGGGAUUGGACUCCUCCAGGUGGUUUUGCGGGUUGAGACUGGGCUUUGCUGACCUCAGCUGGGCUUGCUCAUGUGUCUGCGGUCAGCUGGUGGGGCAGCUGGGGUCAGCUGGCUUGUGAUGGCUGCGUCUGGACCAUGGGAUGACUGGAGCCUUUCUUCCCCAGCUUGCUCAUCCUCCAGCAAGCUAGCCUGGGCUGAUUCACGUGGUGGUCAAAGGUUCUAAAAAAAAGUGGAAACUGCAAGGUCCCUGGAGGCCUAGGCUCAGAACUGGCACGAUCAAGUCACAUACCAGCCCAGACCGGAGGAGGAGAAAUACACUAUGCUUCUCGAUGGGCACAGCUGUGGUGUGCUGGGGCCAAUAUUUUCUUCAAGCUACCACAUCAAGACGAUGAAUAGAAAUUAGGACUAAUAGGAGAACAGCCUCUGUUUUUUUGAGUUCGUCUUUAAGAGUUUGAGGUUGCAAGUCCUGGCUGGUGUUGUGAAUUCAUUAUGUGACUUUAAAUAAGUUUUUCAAACUUUUUGUUGAUUUUAACCACUGUACUAGGCUUCUUUUGCUUAUACAUUAAUAGGAAAUAAUACCAAGUAUUUAAUGAAGAUUUUACAGAGAGAUGUGCCUCUCCACAUGGCCUGUCAAAUCAAUGGACAUUCAGUAAAUAACUACUGAACACACAAAAUCAAUACAUUUAUUAAUACCUUCUUAGGUCUUUUAAACAUUUUCUGCAACACAAAAUUUUACAUAUUGUAGAAAUUUAGAAAAAGAAUAGAAAGAGUAAAAAAUAGAAGUCAUCAUUUACUCCAUCACCAGUGGUAAUAAUGUAGAAUUGUUAAUUUUUGGUUGUAGUUCCUUUAAGAUUUUAUUUUCUGUGUAUGUGUGGGUGUGUCUGCUGCCAUCCUGGCUUUGUACUGUGAUGCCGUUUUUACGUUAUUUUAUUUUUUGUCUUUUUUUGUCUUUAGAGGGCCACACCUGCAGUAUAUAGAGGUUCCCAGGCUAGGGGUCUAAUUUGGAGCCACAGCUGCCGGCCCAUGCCACAGCUGCAGCAACGCCAGAUCCAAGCUGUGUGUGCAGCCUCCACCACAGCUUACGGCAACAUCGAUCGUCAACCCACUGAGUGAGGCCAGGGAUCAAAGCCACAACCUCAUGGUUCCUAGUCAGAUUUGUUUCGGCUGCACCAUGAUGGGAACACCCUGAUGCUGUUUUUAUAAUCUGCUCUUUCACUUUGAUAAAUACACAUUUACUGCCCCUUUUUUGAUGACUGCACAUUUAUUCUAGUGCAUGUGUAUUCCACAAUUUACCGAACCUAUCCCCUGUUGCUGGGCAUUUAAAUAUUUUCUGGCUUUUAAACAUUAUUUUUGAAAACAUUAUAUAAACACUUUAGUGCUAAAUUCUUUGGAAACCCUUGUGAUGUAUAAGAAAUAUUUUUGGUCUUUGUCCCUGGUUCCUGGAACAGAGCUCCCCAAACCCUUGGAACUUCCCGAUGGGAGCCUCUUUCUUCCUUCAUAAGGUGGCCCUUUCGAGCAUACCUGAGUUUAUGCUAAUGAAGUGAGAUAGGGUGGGGACCCUACAUAGCCUCAGAAUGGAGCUGGUUACCAGAAAGACCAAGUAAUUAAAAGGUUGGAACUUUCAGGCCCACUCACUGACCCCUGAAAAGGGAAAGAGCAGGGGUUGCUGAUUUAGCACUAUAAAAACUUUUAAACAAUGAGAUUGGAUGAACAUCUGGAUUAGUGAACAACAUCCACACAUCAGAAGGAUGGCUCACCCUAGUUCCACAGGGAUAGAAACUCCUGUGCUCUGGACCCUUCUGGAUCUCACCCUAUUAUCUUUUCAUAUGGCUGUUUAGUGGUAUGCUUAAUAAUGUCAUUUGUAAGGGGAGUUCCCACCAUGGCUCAGUAGUA